rnacentral:rRNA from 1 species
AAAAAUAUUAAAAAUUAGGUAGUAACGGAGUUUCUGAAACCUAAAGGACUUGGCGGUAUUUUAAAUAAUUGGAGGAACUUGUUAUUUAAUUGAAGUUACACAACAUAUCUUUCCUUAUUUUUGCUUGUAUAUCAUUGUUUUAAGAUAACAUUUUCUAAUAUAGUCUAAAUCAAGUUUGUUCAAAAAAUCAAAUCAAGGCGCAGCAUAAUAAGGUUAUAAUGAGUUACAAUGAAAUUUAUUCAAACGGAAAUAAAAAGUAAAAUAUAUUGAAGGUGGAUUCAAAAAUAAUAAAAAAUUAAAAAGUUCUUAUGAAUAAUAAUUUAAAAUAUGC